rnacentral:rRNA from 1 species
AGUGGGUUUGAUCCUGGCCCAGAGUGAACGUUAGCGAGCGGAUUAAUACAUGCAAGUCAAUCAAAUUAUUUAGCAUUGAUUUCCUAAAAUUUGGUGGCGCACGGGUGAGUAAUACGCAAGAAUUUGCCUAAAAGAUUGGGUAAACCCAAAUUUCCAAGAAGGAAAAAGAUCAAAUUCACUUUUAGAUAAGCUUGCGCAGGAUUAGGUUGUUGGUGUAGAAGUUUCAUAAGCAUUCUUUUAUUUUUUUUUAAAAUAAAAAAGUAAGUAUAUGGCAACUUUCUUAUAGGUAAAGGCUCACCAAGCCAAUGAUCCUUAGCUGGUUUGAAAGAACGAACAGCCACACUGGAACUGAGAAUGGUCCAGACUCUAUAUUGAGGCAGCAGUAAUGAAUCUUGGACAAUGGGGGAAACCCUGAUCCAGCCAGCUCGCGUGAAGGAAGAAGGCAAAUUAGUCGUAAACUUCUUUUGUCGAAGUAGAUAAUGACAGGCUUCGAAGAAUAAGUACCGGCAAAUUCCGUGCCAGCAGCCGCGGUAAUACGGGAGGUGCAAACGUUACUCGGAUUGAUUAGGCGUAAAGGGCGCGUAGGCGGUUAGAACGCAUUAUCAACGAAAUCCCAAAGCUUAACUUUGGAAUGUUUGAUAGUUGCUUUUGACUAGAGCAUGGUAGAGGAGAGUAGAAUGUUUGGAGUAGAGGUGAAAUUCGCAAAUCCCAAAUGGAAUGCCAAAAGCGAAGGCAAUUCUCUUGACCAUAAAUAUUAAGGCUGACGCUGAGGCGCGAAGGUGUAGGUAUCAAAUAGGAUUAGGUACCCUAGUAGUCUACACAGUCAACGAUGUCCGUUCACUAUUGGGGGAUGUGCUACGCCCCCAGUGGUUUAGCUAACGCGUUAAACGGACCGCCUGAGGACUACGAGCGCAAGCUUAAAACUCAAAGGAUUAGACGGGAGCACAAUACAAGCAGUGGAGAAUGCGCUUUAAUUCGAGAAUACGCGAAUAACCUUACCCGCUCUUGGAUUUAUUUUAUAACGAAUAAACAGGUGUUGCAUGGUUGUUGGCAGCUCGUGUUGCGAAAUGUUUGGUUAAGUCCUGUAACGAGCGAAACCCUUACAUCAAGGCCAUUGGUCUUGAUGAACUACUUGUGAUAAACUUGAUGAAGGUAAGGAUGACUUCAAAUCAGCACGGCCCUUAUGGGCGGGGCUAGACGCGUUCUACAAAACAGAUAGACAAACCCAAGCGAAUAGGAUUACUUGGAGCAAAUGGGAAAAGAAAUUUUAUCAAACUAUCUGUACGUUGGGAUUGUCUUUUGCUACUUAAGGGCAUGAACCCGGAAUUGCUAGUAAUCGUAGAUGAGAAUGCUACGGUGAAUCGUACCUGUGCUUUGUACUCACCGCCCGUCACAUUAGGGAAAUUUAAUAGAGACAAAGGAAUAAAGGAAAUCCAAACUUUUCAAGGGAGCCAACGCUGGCUCAUUGCUAAGAGAUCUCUUAGGCAGGGUGGGUUUUUAUUUAUUACAAAUUUCUGAUAAGUAACUUUAAUGAAGUCGUAACAAGGUCGCCGUACCGGAAG